GAUGAACGCUGGCGGCGUGCCUAAUACAUGCAAGUCGAGCGAACGGACGAGAAGCUUGCUUCUCUGAUGUUAGCGGCGGACGGGUGAGUAACACGUGGAUAACCUACCUAUAAGACUGGGAUAACUUCGGGAAACCGGAGCUAAUACCGGAUAAUAUUUUGAACCGCAUGGUUCAAAAGUGAAAGACGGUCUUGCUGUCACUUAUAGAUGGAUCCGCGCUGCAUUAGCUAGUUGGUAAGGUAACGGCUUACCAAGGCAACGAUGCAUAGCCGACCUGAGAGGGUGAUCGGCCACACUAGAACUGAGACACGGUCCAGACUCCUACGGGAGGCAGCAGUAGGGAAUCUUCCGCAAUGGGCGAAAGCCUGACGGAGCAACGCCGCGUGAGUGAUGAAGGUCUUCGGAUCGUAAAACUCUGUUAUUAGGGAAGAACAUAUGUGUAAGUAACAGUGCACAUCUUGACGGUACCUAAUCAGAAAGCCACGGCUAACUACGUG
rnacentral:rRNA from 1 species